rnacentral:rRNA from 1 species
CCUACGGGCGGCAGCAGUGAGGAAUAUUGGUCAAUGGGCUUACGCCUGAACCAGCCAAGUCGCGUGAGGGAAGACUGCCCUAUGGGUUGUAAACCUCUUUUGUCAGGGAGCAACGCCGGCUACGUGUAGCCGGACUGAGAGUACCUGAAGGAAAAGCAUCGGCUAACUCCGUGCCAGCAGCCGCGGUAAUACGGAGGAUGCGAGCGUUAUCCGGAUUUAUGGGGUUUAAAGGGUGCGUAGGCGGAAUGCCAAGUCAGCGGUAAAAUCGCGGGGCUCAACCUCGCUCCGCCGUUGAAACUGGCGUUCUUGAGUGGGCGAGAAGUAUGCGGAAUGCGUGGUGUAGCGGUGAAAUGCAUAGAUAUCACGCAGAACUCCGAUUGCGAAGGCAGCAUACCGGCGAGCAACUGACGCUGAAGCACGAAAGCGUGGGUAUCGAACAGGAUUAGAUACCCCAGUAGUC